rnacentral:rRNA from 1 species
CGGCAUGCUUAACACAUGCAAGUCCGAACGACCUUGUUUUCAAGGUAGUGGCGGACGGGUGAGUAACAUGUAAGUACCAACACUUAAGCUAGGAACAACAAGUGGAAACGCUUGCUAAUGCCUUAUAGUGCUUUUAAGUUAAAGAUUUUUAUCACUUAGGUAUGGGCUUGCACCUGAUUAGCUUGUUGGUAAGGUAAUGGCUUACCAAGGCUAUGAUCAGUAGCUGUUUUGAGAAGAUGAUCAGCCACACGGGAAUUGAGAACGGGACCGACUCCUACGGGAGGCAGCAGUGAGGAAUUUUCCGCAAUGGGUGAAAGCCUGACGGAGCAAUGCCGCGUGGAGGAAGACGGCCUUAGGGUUGUAAACUCCUUUUCUCAUCGAAGAAAUUUUGACGGUAUUUGAGGAAUAAGCAUCGGCUCACUUUGUGCCAGCAGCCGCGGUAAUACAAGGGAUGCAAGCGUUAUCCGGAAUUAUUGGGCGUAAAGAGUUUGUAGGUGGCUUAAUGUGUUUAACGUUAAAUAUCAGAGCUCAACUUUGGACCUGCGUUAAAAACUAUUAGGCUUGAGUAUGGUAGAGGUAAAGGGAAUUUCCAGUGUAGCGGUGAAAUGCGUAGAUAUUGGAAGGAACACCAAGGGCGAAAGCACUUUGCUAGGCUAAUACUGACACUGAGAAACGAAAGCUAAGGUAGUAAAACAGAUUAGAUACCUGUGUAAUCUUAGCCGUAAACGAUGGACACUAGGUGGUGCUUUUUGUGCUGCUUAAGCUAACGCGUAAGUGUCCCGCCUGGGGAGUACGCUUGCAAAAGUGAAACUCAAAGGAAUUGACGGGGACCCGCACAAGCGGUGGAGCAUGUGGUUUAAUUCGAUGGUACACGAAGAACCUUACCAGGAUUUGACAUGAUAGAAAGUUCUAUGAAAGUAGGACGUGCCUUUGGGAAUCUAUACACAGGUGGUGCAUGGCUGUCGUCAGCUCGUGUCGUGAGAUGUUAGGUUAAGUCCAUCAACGAGCGCAACCCUCUUUUUUAGUUACAAUGUCUAAAGAUACUGCUGAUUAUAAGUCGGAGGAAGGUGGGGACGACGUCAAGUCAUCAUGCCCCUUAUAUCCUGGGCUACACACGUGCUACAAUGGGUAAGACAACGAGAUGCUAACUUGCGAAGGUAUGCUAAACUCUUAAACUUAUCCUUAGUUCGGAUGGUAGGCUGCAACUCGCCUACCUGAAGCUGGAAUCGCUAGUAAUCGCCAGUCAGCUAUAUGGCGGUGAAUCCGUUCUCGGGUCUUGUACACACCGCCCGUCACACCAUGGGAGCUGGCCAUGCCUAAUGCUGUUAUCUUAACCGAAAGGAGAGAAAUGUCUAAGGCCGGGUUAGUGACUGGGGUGAAGUCGUAACAAGGUA